CUUGAUUACUGCUGUGAGGAUUACUAAUGUCGCUAUUACUGGAGUAUCAUUGGAAUUGACAUCGCUAUUGCCCUGAUUAAUGCUGCUCUCUUCCUGUAUUUCUUUUGUUGUUGUUGCUGCUACUAGAGUUAUGGGUGAUGCCGCUGCCGUUCCGGUUGUGUUAGAAUGACUACUGCUACCGCAAAUUAGGGAUAGAAGAAAUGGUUAUAUUAAAUAAUACGAUUGCGACAUCGAGGAACCAGAUGAGGAAGCAUUAUGGAAAGUUAUACUGCGUUUGAUUUAUAUAUGUUGUUGUAUUAAUUAGAUUAUUUUCUUCCCUCGUCUUUGUUAUUACAAGUUUGUAAGAGGGAUA